GAUGAAGAACGUAGCGAAAUGCGAUACUUGGUGUGAAUUGCAGAAUCCCGUGAACCAUCGAGUCUUUGAACGCAAGUUGCGCCCGAAGCCAUUAGGCCGAGGGCACGCCUGCCUGGGCGUCACACGUCGUUGCCCCCCCAUCUACUCCUUCGGGAUUGCGGGGGGCGGAUGAUGGCCUCCCGUGCGCCUCGCCGCGCGGUUGGCAUAAAUGCCAAGUCCUCGGGGACGCACGCCACGACAAUCGGUGGUUGCGAAACCUCGGUUGCCCGUCGUGUGCGGUCGUCGCGCAUCGAGGGCUCGAAAAAAUUGCCGGGUUCCGGCUCGGCUUUCAACGCGACCCCAGGUCAGGCGGGGUUACCCGCUGAAUUUAAGCAUAUCAAUAAGCGGAGGA
rnacentral:misc_RNA from 1 species